rnacentral:lncRNA from 1 species
AAACUAUAACACAAAGUUUCAGUUUUUUAAAAGAGAGAGUGUGUGUGAGAGAGAGAGAGAGAGAGAGAAUUUUUUAAUAUUUAUUUUUUAGUUUUCGGCAGACACCACAUCUUUGUAUGUGGUACUAAGGAUCGAACCCGGGCCGCCCGCAUGCCAGGCUAGCGCGCUACCGCUUGAGCCACAUUCCCAGCCCCAAAAGUUUCAUUUUAAUUGCUAUGUUUUCUAAGAAAUUUAUUAGAGCCAAUCAAUAAUGAUAAGUUUAACCAACAAUAAAAAAUUUAAAAAAUAAAUAAAUAAAAUAAUAAGUUUAAAUAUACAUGAUUUAGGAACAGAGAGAAGGGAUGAGAACUGAAAAUAUGCAGUAGUUUGUAAAACCUCUUCAGAAAGUAGGGGAAGGGAUUUGAUACCUUUCCUUCAAAAUAUUUACAGCUAACAUGGCUCUUUUAAAAUUUGAAAUGUAUUGUGAGGUUUUCUUAUUCUCAUUUGCUUUAAAGCCUUCCCUGUAUUGUAUCACAGUCUACAUUUAUAAUUGUACAUUUUCCUUAGUGGGACACAUUGGAUUGGAGGAUGAAAGGUGUGAUAGGAGCAAAGGGUAUUUAAACAUCAUUGAUUCCAAUCCAUGUUCCUUGGAGUAGGACAUCUGGAGUUAAUUCACUUGCCUGGGGCCAUAUAUCAAGUCUGUAGCAGCCAGGGGUAGAACACUGUCUUUCUUUGUGUCUAUGUUCUUGCCAGGAUAUUCUACUCACUGCAUGUUUGAUUUUAGGGUAAGUUUUAGGCUGCUGGGAACUCAGUUAGAAAGUUACCCAUGGCACUAUAUAGAUGGAUACAGAUUGUUCUAGUCUUUCUUUUUAAGCUUAUAUCCAUGGACUCCCAACUCAAUUUCCUUAGAAAACAAGGUCCAGACUGUUAAAUAUUCUUAUGCUGAUGGUAUGAAAUCCGAUUGGUAAAAUAUCAGUUUGUAGAAAAUUAAUUAAUAAAAUAACUCAUUUCUUAUUUCACAUGGAUCAGAACCUUCGUGUGUGCCAGGAGAUGUUAUAAGUGUAGUGGAUAGCAACAACCCAAGAAAUGGCCCCAAAUCCCUGCCCUUAUGGAGACAGGGUUCUAGUUGUGAAGAUGAAGUUAGGGUCUAUGAGGAAUAGAAAAGAAGUAUAUGAGAUUACUACAUUCAAGAGCUUAAUGUCUGUCAAAUUCAACAGCACAAUGGAAAAAUGUAAUAGCUGCUGUUAUUGUGACUUAUAGAUAACUGGUUUUUAAAACAUUUUCUUAUCUUUUCUCUUCUAAUAAUCCUGUGGAGAAUUCCUGGUGGAACCAGGGCUCAAAUGCAGUUGAUUAGAUUCUAAAUCCUUUAAUCUUUUGGUAUAGCAUUUGGUUUUUUUUAAUAAAUGACAGAAGAAUGCAUUAUAAUUUUUAUAACAAAUAUACAGCACGAUUUUUCAUAUCUCUGGUUGUAUAUAAAGUAUGUUGACACCAAUUUGUAUCUUCAAACAUGUACUUUGGAUAAUGAUGUCUCUUGAUACAAUUUCAAGACCCAGCUUCUCCUCUGAAUUUAACACUGACUGGCUUGAACAUAACACAACAAUCUAGUUUCUUUAUCUAUAAAACAAAAACAGUAAGCCUAGCCCUAACUUGUUUUGUUUUGCAGGAGAUUUUUGAAAAUUCAAUAAAUGGCUUUUAUGAAACUAGUCUCUAAACCACUAUAUAAAUGUGAAACAUUGUUAUACACCAUAAUUUUCUUGUUUUUUGUCCAGGGAAAACUGA